CAUCUUAGUACCCGGAGGAAGAGAAAGAAAAUUCGAUUCCCUUAGUAGCGGCGAGCGAAACGGGAAGAGCCCAAACCAACAAGCUUGCUUGUUGGGGUUGUAGGACACUCUAUACGGAGUUACAAAGGACGACAUUAGACGAAUCAUCUGGAAAGAUGAAUCAAAGAAGGUAAUAAUCCUGUAGUCGAAAAUGUUGUCUCUCUUGAGUGGAUCCUGAGUACGACGGAGCACGUGAAAUUCCGUCGGAAUCUGGGAGGACCAUCUCCUAAGGCUAAAUACUCUCUAGUGACCGAUAGUGAACCAGUACCGUGAGGGAAAGGUGAAAAGCACCCCGGAAGGGGAGUGAAAUAGAACCUGAAACCGUGUGCUUACAAGUAGUCAGAGCCCGUUAAUGGGUGAUGGCGUGCCUUUUGUAGAAUGAACCGGCGAGUUACGAUUUGAUGCAAGGUUAAGCAGUAAAUGUGGAGCCGUAGCGAAAGCGAGUCUGAAUAGGGCGUUUAGUAUUUGGUCGUAGACCCGAAACCAGGUGAUCUACCCUUGGUCAGGUUGAAGUUCAGGUAACACUGAAUGGAGGACCGAACCGACUUACGUUGAAAAGUGAGCGGAUGAACUGAGGGUAGCGGAGAAAUUCCAAUCGAACCUGGAGAUAGCUGGUUCUCUCCGAAAUAGCUUUAGGGCUAGCCUCAAGUGAUGAUUAUUGGAGGUAGAGCACUGUUUGGACGAGGGGCCCCUCUCGGGUUACCGAAUUCAGACAAACUCCGAAUGCCAAUUAAUUUAACUUGGGAGUCAGAACAUGGGUGAUAAGGUCCGUGUUCGAAAGGGAAACAGCCCAGACCACCAGCUAAGGUCCCAAAAUAUAUGUUAAGUGGAAAAGGAUGUGGCGUUGCCCAGACAACUAGGAUGUUGGCUUAGAAGCAGCCAUCAUUUAAAGAGUGCGUAAUAGCUCACUAGUCGAGUGACACUGCGCCGAAAAUGUACCGGGGCUAAACAUAUUACCGAAGCUGUGGAUUGUCCUUUGGACAAUGGUAGGAGAGCGUUCUAAGGGCGUUGAAGCAUGAUCGUAAGGACAUGUGGAGCGCUUAGAAGUGAGAAUGCCGGUGUGAGUAGCGAAAGACGGGUGAGAAUCCCGUCCACCGAUUGACUAAGGUUUCCAGAGGAAGGCUCGUCCGCUCUGGGUUAGUCGGGUCCUAAGCUGAGGCCGACAGGCGUAGGCGAUGGAUAACAGGUUGAUAUUCCUGUACCACCUAUAAUCGUUUUAAUCGAUGGGGGGACGCAGUAGGAUAGGCGAAGCGUGCGAUUGGAUUGCACGUCUAAGCAGUAAGGCUGAGUAUUAGGCAAAUCCGGUACUCGUUAAGGCUGAGC
rnacentral:rRNA from 1 species